rnacentral:lncRNA from 1 species
AUGGGGAAGAGAAAUGGAAGAGAAGGUGCCCAAAUGAGAAGGACAUGGACUGAAUACAAAGCUCCAAAUUUGGAAAACAACAGUAAAACUCCACAGGCACGUGGCUCUGAGAAUCAGCUAACAGCAGAAGUGCAGAGAUUUCCAGGCUCUGUUCUAGGUGUUAAGGAUUCAAAGAAGAAGGUAAUGUCUUAUUCUUCCCUCAAGGAGUUAAGUGUCUGGGGAAGAGAGAAUUUUACAAUACAGUGAAUCAGUGGUGGGAGGGAGGCAUGGGUGGGUGUUAUGGGCACUUGAAGGAGGCACCCAACACAGCUUGCAGCCGGAGUCAGAAGCGGAAUAUCUGCCAGAGUCUUCACUGAAGUCUGGGGGGUUGAGUAAGAGUUUGCUAAGCUACCUUUCUUUCAGUAUGUUACAUUAUUCAGAAUUUUUACCAGUUCAACUAAAAUGUCCCCCUCCAUUUCUUUAUAUCAGAAGUCAACAAACGUGUACUGUAACAGGGCAAAUAGUAAAUAUUUUAGGUUUAUGGGCCAUCCAGUGUCUGUUGCAACUACUCAACUCUGACUUGUACCCCAGAAGCAGCCACAGUCAAUGCAGAACUAGAUGGGCAUGGCUGUGGGCAAUGAUGAAUCUUACCUGAGCCCUGUGAUCCUGGAAAACAGAAGAGUUAAGAACUCCCCCGACCCUGUUGUCUCCUAGGAAAUGGCUUACUGCAAGGAACCACCUUCUCCAGCUGACUUAGAUAGGGCUAACCCAUGGCCCCCUUGUUUACCCAUGAUAAGGCCAGACACAAACCAUCCAGAUUCCCAUCUUUUGCCUUGUACAUAAUAGUUGAACUGUUUUGUCUCCAUUGAUAAACGGAAAAAAAAUGCUUUUCGAUCAAACUUUGGCUAAGAUUCUCACCUUCCCCAGGUCUCUGAGCUUUGGCCUACCUUCAGCCUGAGGCAGCAUAUAGCCCCUCCUUAAGGCUGCUCCCAGAAAAUAGGCUGAUCUCAACAUGAAACAUUCUGCUAUUCUAUCUACAGUCUGACCACACCACCCUUUACCCCACUUCCCCAAACUCAGCUCUUUCUAAACUUGUUCAUUUCUUUCUAGGAAAGAAAAUCCCUUUGUGCCUAACCUUUGAGAUGUUUGCUGAUCUUAUGGUCCAAGCCUUCUUUCUACUGCAAAAGUUCCCCUCUCUCUAUACCAAUAGUCCCCUCUCCUCUGCCCUGCAAUAAUCCUGUCGAUUAUAAUCUUUCCUUACUAAAUCUACGUUUGUUAAUAAAAAUCACUAUGUUGACA